rnacentral:hammerhead_ribozyme from 1 species
AUCCAACUGAUGAGUCCCAAAUAGCACGAAAUCGCGUGAUCCUGGAU